rnacentral:lncRNA from 1 species
GGAGGGGCAAGUGAAGUGCGGAGGGGCAGGUGCUUGGCAGCUGUGCGGGGCAGCCUCAGGUUCCGGGGUGGAUUUCCACGCAGCGCUGAGACCCCCAGGGGGAUAAAGAGCAUCGGAACCUUAAGACUCCGCCUGCUGUGGGUGAACCUCGUGAACCCUUGUGUUGUCCCUAGGAGAACCCGCAUCGCACCUGCACAGCUGUCCCCGGCAGUAAGGCUCCUGAAAUUUAUCGUUGAGGCUGCAUUUGGUGGAACAGCAAUCACAAUUGUGACCAUGGGCAAGAGCAGCAAGAUGCCGCAGCACCAUGACGAUCGAAUGCCACGCGUCCCCCAGAGCGCCGGAUCUUCACUGACACCUCUGAGGCCUUUUGUCCAGCCAAGGAAUUUGGUCCGCUGUGACUGUGAGGAGUUCAGGAAGACCAAGCCAAGGAGUGCAGAGCAGCCAGAAUGGGAAGAAAGCGGUCCUGGGUCUGUCUUGGUACCCGUGUGGGUGGAAGGGCCGCCCCUGAGCACUUUCAUUCAAGACCAGAGGCCAUGAAGAAAUGGAUGUUGGAGUCGAAACUACCCAGGACCCUCCCGGCCACGCCCAGUGCAGCACCUCCUGGCCUGACUGUGGCUGGCUGGCUCCUUCCCAUCGCUUGUCACAGGGAUCCCGC